UAGACCGAUAGCGAACAAGUAGASUGAUCGAAGAUGAAAAGCACUUUGAAAAGAGAGUUAAAAAGCACGUGAAAUUGUUGAAAGGGAAGCGCUUGCGACCAGACUCGCCUACGGGGUUCAGCCGGUAUUCGUACCGGUGUACUUCCCCGUGGGCGGGCCAGCGUCGGUUUGGGCGGCCGGUCAAAGGCCCUCGGAAUGUAACGCCUCUCGGGGCGUCUUAUAGCCGAGGGUGCCAUGCGGCCAGCCCGGACCGAGGAACGCGCUUCGGCACGGACGCUGGCAUAAUGGUCGUAAGCGACCCGUCUUGAAACACGGACCAAGUA
rnacentral:rRNA from 1 species